AUGACUACCUGCUUCUCCGACAUUAUCAAAGAUCAUUCCCUUGAUUUCAUAGGAUUGCAGGAAACCAGAAAGAAAGAGAUUCCUCCUAAGUUCUUACGCAAGAUUGACCCCUAUGAUAGAUUUGCUUGGAACUGGGUGCCUUCUAUUGGCAAAUCCGGGGGCAUCCUUUGUGGCAUCAAAAGAGAAACUCUGGAAGUUGUUUCCUAGACAGUGGGCAAAUUUUGCUUGCAAGCAACCCUUUUUGAUAUAAACCUUAAAUGUGUGUGGGCCCUGAGGGAGUCCUGGAUUAGGGGGUCUCCGGAUAAGAAAGAGGAAUUCCUUUGUGAACUUGCAUCCAUGUGUUCCCAUCUCCAGGUCCCUUACAUUGUGGGAGGGGAUUUCAACAUUCUUCAUGAAAGUUGUGAGAAAAAUAAGAAUUUAAAUCGGUCCCCUUACAUGGAUAAAUUCAAUUCCACCAUUCAAUCUCUGAACCUUCGUGAGAUACAUAUGGGAGGGGGCAAAUACACCUGGAACCACCAAAGACACCCUACUUUAGAAAAGCUCGAUAGAGUUCUUAUGAGUUUUGAAUGGGAGGACCUCUUUCCCCUGGUCAUUGUCCGGAAGUUGGUACGGGACGUGUCAGACCAUAAUCCUCUCCUACUGUCAUCUAACUCGUCU
rnacentral:rRNA from 1 species